CCAUUAACUAGGUCCUAGUCUAGGAAAAGAUAAUAAAGAAAAUAUUGCUUAGGGUAAAGCUAAAAAAAAGUUCUUUUUAUAGGUAACAUAUUAUAAAUGCUUUUAUGCUCAAUGCUUCUUUUAAAAAGUAGCUUUGCAAGAGUAUAACGAAGUAUAAGAGGAUAGGAAAAGAUUAAAAAAAAGGUUUUUCGGCGAAAAAAAAGAAUAUCGGAGAAAAAAAAUUUGUGUUUCAAAAAUGCCGCAAUUACAUUCAAACAUAAACAGAAAAUUGAAAUCAAUAUUUCUAUGAUAGAUCAACUUUAGGUAACAGGACCACUAAAUCCUUCACGAGUAAACAUUUUCUAUUUUACUUAUGCAAGACGAAUUAUUUACCUAAAUUAUUUGCAACAACAACGAAACAAAAAAUUAUCAAAAAUUUGAGCAGAAACUUUGUUUGGAAACUUUUGUUAAUCUGAAAAAAAACCGAAGUUGAGAAAACUUUCUUUUCAUUAAAAAAAUUAUUCAAACUUUAAUUUAAAAUACCUGCCAGGUUUUGUUGUUUUUAAAAAAUGUUCUUUAACAAAUUUUUUGUGUUUUUGUUCAAUAUUUGUUUAAUUUUAAUUUUUGGCAAGGGAUUGUCCAUAUAGUUCGUAGGCUCGGAGAGAAAGAGGGGAAAUGCAAAUCGCGUAUGUGAAAUGGGGGAUGGGGGUAGUAAGUCAAUUAUAAAAGUAUGGAGACACUAAAUUUAAAACAAUAUCAUAAAAUGUUGGGUUAGUAGGUUAAAAGCGUAGAUACUUUUAGGGAGGUAGAGCGAACUCAAAAAAGCGUAUGGCAAAACUGGAAGGUGAGGUCG